rnacentral:rRNA from 1 species
GACGAACGCUGGCGGCGUGCUUAACACAUGCAAGUCGAACGGAAAGGCCCUGCUUUUGUGGGGUGCUCGAGUGGCGAACGGGUGAGUAACACGUGAGUAACCUGCCCUUGACUUUGGGAUAACUUCAGGAAACUGGGGCUAAUACCGGAUAGGAGCUCCUGUUGCAUGGUGGGGGUUGGAAAGUUUCGGCGGUUGGGGAUGGACUCGCGGCUUAUCAGCUUGUUGGUGGGGUAGUGGCUUACCAAGGCUUUGACGGGUAGCCGGCCUGAGAGGGUGACCGGCCACAUUGGGACUGAGAUACGGCCCAGACUCCUACGGGAGGCAGCAGUGGGGAAUAUUGCACAAUGGGCGGAAGUCUGAUGCAGCAACGCCGCGUGCGGGAUGACGGCCUUCGGGUUGUAAACCGCUUUCGCCUGUGACGAAGCGUGAGUGACGGUAAUGGGUAAAGAAGCACCGGCUAACUACGUG